CUAAAUCCUAAACCAAAUCCUAGAUUAAACUCUAGAUCUUAAAUUAAAUCCUAUAUCAAACCUUAGAUAAAUCCUAAAUCCUAAAUCCUAAAUCAAAUCCUAAAAAAAUCUUAAAUCCUAAAUCAAACCCUAGACAAAUCUUACAUCCUAAAUCAAAUCCUAAACCAAAACUUAGACCAAAUCCUAACCAAACCCUAAUCAAUUCAAUCUUAUCCUAGUAUUAUUUAGAAUCUUGAUACCUAUCAAUCAAACUAUUGAUCUUAUCUAAAUAUUUGCAUACUUUUUAAAAAUUAAUUUGCAACGAGUUUAUAAAAUUUGAAGAUAAUCACACUUAUCAAAUGAAAGAAAAAUCCUAAGAUCUCCUU
rnacentral:lncRNA from 1 species